rnacentral:rRNA from 1 species
GUCUAUGGCCACCCCAUCCUGAAUGCUCCUGAUCUUGUCUGAUCUUGGAAGUUAAGCAGGGUGGGGGCUGGUUAGUACUUGGAUGGGAGAAAAUUUACCCACUAGGGUUU